rnacentral:rRNA from 1 species
UUGGGAGCUCUCCAUAUGGUCGACCUGCAGGCGGCCGCGAAUUCACUAGUGAUUCGUAUUACCGCGGCUGCUGGCACAGAGUUAGCCGGUGCUUAUUCUGUCGGUAACGUCAAAACAGCAAAGUAUUAAUUUACUGCCCUUCCUCCCAACUUAAAGUGCUUUACAAUCCGAAGACCUUCUUCACACACGCGGCAUGGCUGGAUCAGGCUUUCGCCCAUUGUCCAAUAUUCCCCACUGCUGCCUCCCGUAGGAGUCUGGACCGUGUCUCAGUUCCAGUGUGACUGAUCAUCCUCUCAGACCAGUUACGGAUCGUCGCCUUGGUGAGCCAUUACCCCACCAACUAGCUAAUCCGACCUAGGCUCAUCUGAUAGCGCAAGGCCCGAAGGUCCCCUGCUUUCUCCCGUAGGACGUAUGCGGUAUUAGCGUCCGUUUCCGAACGUUAUCCCCCACUACCAGGCAGAUUCCUAGGCAUUACUCACCCGUCCGCCGCUCUCAAGAGAAGCAAGCUUCUCUCUACCGCUCGACUUGCAUGUGUUAGGCCUGCCGCCAGCGUUCAAUCUGAGCCAUGAUCAAACUCUAAUCGAAUUCCCGCGGCCGCCAUGGCGGCCGGGAGCAUGCGACGUCG